UGGCGGCGUGGUUAAGACAUGCAAGUCGAACGAGAGAAUUGCUAGCUUGCUAAUAAUUCUCUAGUGGCGCACGGGUGAGUAACACGUGAGUAACCUGCCCCCGAGAGCGGGAUAGCCCUGGGAAACUGGGAUUAAUACCGCAUAGUAUCGAAAGAUUAAAGCAGCAAUGCGCUUGGGGAUGGGCUCGCGGCCUAUUAGUUAGUUGGUGAGGUAACGGCUCACCAAGGCAAUGACGGGUAGCCGGUCUGAGAGGAUGUCCGGCCACACUGGAACUGAGACACGGUCCAGACACCUACGGGUGGCAGCAGUCGAGAAUCAUUCACAAUGGGGGAAACCCUGAUGGUGCGACGCCGCGUGGGGGAAUGAAGGUCUUCGGAUUGUAAACCCCUGUCAUGUGGGAGCAAAUUAAAAAGAUAGUACCACAAGAGGAAGAGACGGCUAACUCUGUGCCAGCAGCCGCGGUAAUACAGAGGUCUCAAGCGUUGUUCGGAAUCACUGGGCGUAAAGCGUGCGUAGGCUGUUUCGUAAGUCGUGUGUGAAAGGCGCGGGCUCAACCCGCGGACGGCACAUGAUACUGCGAGACUAGAGUAAUGGAGGGGGAACCGGAAUUCACGGUGUAGCA
rnacentral:rRNA from 1 species